ensembl:misc_RNA Metazoa_SRP Metazoan signal recognition particle RNA
GCCGGGUGUGGUGGCUCACACCUAUAAUCCCAGCACUUUGGGAGGCUGAGGCGGGAGUAUCACCUGAGGUCAGGAGUUUGAGACCAGCCUGGCCAACAUGGUGAAACCCCGUCUCUA